rnacentral:misc_RNA from 1 species
UCAGGGGGUAGUCCUGCUCGAUUUGAGGUCAAAUGUAGAAAAGUUCACGACUUAAGAAAGCCGCGAGUUUAUGGUAAGCUGAAAAUGCCGACUCUCCUUUUGUAAUGAAACGAAUCCCCAUUGAAUGAUGUUCCUGAGAACUUAUGACAACGGGUCAAGCUCGCUUCUGGAAAGUACUUCAAGCUUGUUGUAUUUCAACGGAGUCUUUUUCCUAAGUCAAAGACAAAACCGUCAUGAUCCAACCCUGAACACUUUGAGCUGUUACACUCAAAGGGAGUUGAGAGGUACGCGACACUCAAACGAACAUGCUCCCAGGAAUAACCCGAGAGCGCAAGGUGCGUUCAAAGAUUCGAUGAUUCACUGAAUUCUGCAAUUCACAUUACAUUUCGCGCUUUGCUGCGUUCUUCAUCGAUGCGAGAGCCA